CAGAUAGCUCAGUCGGUAGAGCAGGGGAUUGAAAAUCCCCGUGUCGGCGGUUCGAUUCCGUCUCUGGG
rnacentral:tRNA from 14 species